rnacentral:lncRNA from 1 species
GUGUGCGUGUGCGUGUGCGUGUGUGUGUGUGUGUGUGUGUGUGUGUGUGUUGUGCAUGCGGGUGUUGGGUGCAUGCGUGCGUGUGACACAUCAUGUUGUAUCUGUGUGUAGGUAUAAGACUCUAGCCUAUGUGUGUGCAAUGACAAAAUAAAAUCACAAUUUCAGCUGUAUGUCGACGUCAUAUAUCCGUGCUUAGAAAUGAUUGUCCUCAAUGAUCUGCUUAUCAUCUAACAUUUGUUUAGAAAACUAUCUGUGUUUGUCCAGACUCAGUAUGUGGUUAACAUCACACAAACCUGCGCCUCUGAGGUGCUCUACACGGGAUGACUCUCAUCUUUGAUUUAGUGCCUCAAAUAUGAAAUCAAAUAUUCAAUGGCUAGUCAGCCUAUAUUCUAUAAAUACACUCCAAGAGGCAUCGUUUGGUUUAUAUGAUGUAGGGUGGUCUCAGACUAAACAGCGGUAAAGUACUAUCUGCAGACCUGACUACCCUAUAGGUCUACUGUACUGUAUAUAGAGACACAACACAGUCAGGAGAUACAGAAUAUUGUAGUCAGGACAGGAAGUGUUUAAUAUAAUGCACUUCGACACUCAGUCAUGAUUGGAAGAGUGAUAAAUUACCUAGUUGCUUGGUUGUCAGGGUUUAUUUGAAUGUGCAUUAGCAUGAGAUGAAUAACAUCAUACUGAAGUGUAUUGUGUAACUUGGUGAGACAGUAACUGCUGUACAUCUUGGGAAUUCAGUGGCACUGUUUGUAUGUAAACAGCAGGUUGAAUUCAAAAUGGAUGCCAAAGCCUAAAACAGUAUUUGAGAUCUAGCCCUCCUGAUAUGGAACUGAGAUGUGCAUGUGAAUGAAUUUUACAUGUUUUAUACCACUACUGUAUUAUAGCGCUUCCCAAAAAAGGGGGUAAUGUAACAAACCUACCCUUGGUAACUACAUUACCAGCACCUCCUAGUGAGCGAACUCUAUUUGGAAUGGUUGGUUAGUGUCUGGGUCUUGGGACCAGAAGGUUGUGGGUUCAAUUCCCCCCCUGGCUGGGACAGACCCCCCCCAGAUUCACUCCAGUGUUCUCAUUGGCGUUCCUUUGCACUAUGUGAGCGAUCUCUCUCUGCCCUGAUUCUGAUUCUGUCUGUUCACUCCUUCUGCUGUGAUGGCGUCUGUAGCGUUCUGCAGUCUGUCGAUCUCCCUCCUCCCGUUUUUCACAACACACAGGCGUUUUGUAAAGGAAAGGUGUUAUUUUCUUUAUUUCAUGUCUAAAAAAAUAUACGAAGAAUAAACAAAAGAUUAUGAG